rnacentral:rRNA from 1 species
AUGGGAUUGUCAAGUAACUGUGCUAAGACAAUCAAGAUCCAGCAGUGUGUGAAAUUGCCUGAUUCCAAAUAUCUUCACAUCAACGAUGAGCUUGCUGGGUGCUUUGGUACCGAAGAUCAUGGCGACGGGCGGACGGCCCUCGUUCUCAGUCCGUUCGGCAAGAAUGUCUGGCCUGUCAAGGUUGCCGCGCACGGUAUCGGCGUUGGCUGGUACUUGGUGAUCCGGCAUGAAGGGUGCGGCGUGCUCACUCUAAAGGCGUUCGACGCCAGCUUUGUCAUUAAAGAGUUCGGCCUGACUAUCACUGUUUUGAGCCCAGCCGAGAUUGAGAACGCCUUUGCUCGUAAGCCACAGUUCAUCGUGCCACUCCAGAGAAGUUUCAUGGAAAAGAUGCCUAUUCCUCCCGAGUUUCUGCAACGAGGAUACAUCUCGGAAGAAGACCUGAACAGACCGAGACCGAUCGCCACUUUUUUAACAUCCUGGCAUAUCGAGCUCAAGAAGGAUGGCCCGAAUGUCUUCUUCACUGGUUCCGAAUGGCCAAAGUUUCUGGCCUACUUUGAAAUUGCUGAAACUGAUGUCCUGCUGAUCAAGUAUCAGGGGUGCAUGAACUUCUCAUUCGAGACCUUCCAAAAUGGGAAUAAUGAGCACAUCGAGGAAAAAACAAGCUCGUCUCAGCAAAGCGAGCAAUCACCUGGAGCACAAAGCCAAGAGGAAGAACAUGUUUGCAGCCGGAAAAGGAAACAAAGCGAAGUCAAAAGCAUGCUAGACGGAUCCACAACUUCACAGCACCGAAAGAAGGCUCUCUGCGAGCUUGGGUCGACGGGGUCGCAGGCUUGGUUAAGGAAGGAGAUCAACGAACUCGCGCUUAAAAGAUAUCUUCAUUUUCCAGCGCGCUUUGGAUUCCUGGAGCGUUGCAAGAUCACGCUCAAGUCCGUGGAGAGGAACAAGUCUUGGGAGGUGGAAGGUGUCAACUACCAUCCAGGCACCAGCAGGUCCUAUAAUUGUCUUACGAGAGGCUGGAAGGCCUUCUGUAAGGAGAACGAGCUCAAGGCAGGAGACAUCUGCACCUUCAAAGUCGUCAACAGCACGCUGUGGCAUGUUGUCAUCGACCACUGCUAG